rnacentral:misc_RNA from 1 species
GAAAUGCGAUAAGUAAUGUGAAUUGCAGAAUUCAGUGAAUCAUCGAAUCUUUGAACGCACAUUGCGCCCGCCAGCACUCUGGCGGGCAUGCCUGUUCGAGCGUCAUUUCAACCCUCAGAACCCCUUGCGGGAUCUGGCGUUGGGGAUUGGCAUCCAGCCAGCCCCGAAUUCUAGUGGCGGUCCCUCCGCGACCUCCCCUGUGCAGUAGCGAUACCUCGCAGCGGGACAGCGGUCUGACCACGCCGUAAAACCCCCAACUUCUCAAGGUUGACCUCGAAUCAGGUAGGAAUACCCGCUGAACUUAAGC